rnacentral:rRNA from 1 species
UACGUAGGGAGCAAGCGUUGUCCGGAAUCAUUGGGCGUAAAGCGCGCGUAGGUGGCUUCAUAAGUCCGCUGUGAAAGUCAAAGGCUCAACCUUUGAAAGCCGGUGGAUACUGUGGAGCUAGAGUCCGGAAGAGGCGAGUGGAAUUCCUGGUGUAGCGGUGGAAUGCGCAGAUAUCAGGAGGAACACCGGUGGCGAAGGCGGUUCUCUGGGCAUGUCCUGACGCUGAGGAGCGAAAGUGUGGGGAGCGAACAGG